rnacentral:miRNA from 1 species
UGAUUUUGUUGGUUUGUAAU